UUUUUUUUUUUUUUGUUUUCCCUUGUGUGCGCGCGUCUAACUUGCGCUUCAUUCGAGCUGUGCGACGAUCCAAUCCAUGGACCAGGCAUCACGGCACACAGCGCAUGGGACGUAAUUUAAUAGCGCACAGAAGUGCAAGCAGUGGCUCGCGGGAU